CGACGACACGUCUCCCGUGAUGGACGGUGGCUCCACACCGCUGAUGGCGUCGCUAGAAGCGCAAGAUAACUGAAAGCAAUUAAUACGCGAGAACAGUAUUACCCACGUGCACGCCAAAGGACUCGUGUAGACUAUAAAGAAUGAUGUUUAUGUCCGACAAGGAACUGUCACAGUUCUCUCCAGGAGUAAACGAAUGCAAAUUCAGCUGAAUCAGAAGUGCACAUCGGACAAGCAUUGGCUUCAAUGUAGCGGCUUCAAACUUUACCACAAACAUUAAAAAUUAUUUACGUUACAGGCCAAUGUUAAA